ACAACCCCGUCGCGACCAGCUCUCAUCGAACGCUGCCAUCGCGUCCAGUCCGUUCUGCCAUCUUUCGUCGACGAUGCUGUCGAGUAUUAGCUUCGCGUCCAGCUCUCUCGUCCAUGGAUUUUGCUGCUCGAGCAUCACUUUUGCUGUGUCUGUUCCAUCGCUGCUUCUUCUGUCGAACGUACCCCAACUGCUUCUUUUUUGUAUCAACUGCUGCUAGUGUUUCCUCGGUGCUUCAGUUAACUUCUUAGAUUCGGUAAUCAUCGUUUGGUCGAGCUCGUCGUUGAGUUCGUCGUUGAGUCCGGACAGAUUUAUUCCCAUUUGAGGUUCGUCGAAACAGUCCAUACAAUCUCCGGUAUAUAUUUUAGACUCAUGUUGUGGAAAGCUUCAACAUUGCCAAAUAAAUGAAGUUCGGAAUUAUAAUUAUGUCUUUUACUCGUUUAAAUCUAUUAGUUUAAAUUUCAGUUUUGUUUCAGUUGGUUAAUAUAGUAUCUUACAUUUGAUGUGAGAAUUGUUAGUUAAUCAUCCCUUUGAAAUUCGCAUAAGCUUUGUAAUAAUGUUAUUUAUUUCAGAAUUUCAUUAAGUAUAGCUAUAUUCAAAUUAUAAGAUAGGGAACAUGGCAGAAAGCUAGCCAUUAAUUAAAUCUUAUGA